AAACUAAAAGCAUAGUUUGCUAAC
rnacentral:snRNA from 1 species